GAUGAACGCUAGCGGCAGGCUUAAUACAUGCAAGUUGAGGGGCAGCAUGAUAUACGCGAGUAUAUUGAUGGCGACCGGCGGACGGGUGAGUAAUAGGUAGGAGACCUACCUCAUACAGGGGGAUAGCAUAGAGAAAUCUGUGGUAAUACCCCAUGAGGUUAUAUGAAUAGAGGCAUAUAAUCAAAGCAUAAGCGAUUAUGCGGUAUGAGAGGGGCCUACUGGCCAUUAGCUAGUUGGUGAGGUAAGGGCUCACCAAGGCGAAGAUGGUUAGGGGUUUUGAGAGAGAGACCCCCCACAUUGGAACUGAGAGACGGUCCAGACUCCUACGGGAGGCAGCAGUAGGGAAUAUUGGGCAAUGGGCGAAAGCCUGACCCAGCCAUGCCGCGUGAAGGAAGACGGCCUUAUGGGUUAGUAAACUUCUUUACUACGCGAAUAGAGGUUAGUACGAGAUACUAAUAGGAAGGUAGUGUAGUAAAAGCAACCGGCUAACUCCGUAGCC
rnacentral:rRNA from 1 species